rnacentral:rRNA from 1 species
UACGUAGGGGGCGAGCGUUGUCCGAAGUUACUGGGCGUAAAGCGCGCGUAGGCGGGGGAUUAAGUGAGAGGUGAAAGGCUGGGGCUCAACCCCAUGCAGUGCCUCUCAUACUGUUCUUCUUGAGGGCGGUAGGGAGAAGUGGAAUGGCUGGUGUAGCGGUGAAAUGCGUAGAUAUUAGGAGGAACACCAGUAGCGAAGACGACUCACUAGACCGGUACUGACGCUGAUGCGCGAAAGCGUGGGAAGCAAACAGG